rnacentral:lncRNA from 1 species
ACUCUGGUACCUGGCUCUGCCUACUUCGAGUCUGACACAGGUCCGCCAUAGACCUUUUUCACGACAACCGGAAGUAGCGCAUACUAGCGCCCAGUCACUUCCUGUCUUCGCGGGUCUAAGGGAAAAUAGCACCUGUUUUUUCAACAAAGUCGCUUAAUUUGCCCACUUUUCGUUCGCUGAUGCGGAGGUAAUCGCUGUCACAGUCAGGUGGGAAGGCUGUGAGAAUGGGCUCUAAUUAUAUUCAUGUUUUGUACCUGGAAACAACGUAAAAGGCGCUGGUGUUGGACUGACUAAAGGGACACAGCUAGCCUGAACUGCGUCAGUGAGAUGGGCCGAUAUAAUUGCUCAGCACACCCACAGAUGUCCUCAAGUAAUGGCUCACUCAUUGUUCUACUGGUCAAUCAGCAAAGGAAAUCAAUGCAUUUGGGGUCACUUUGAAGAGCAGAAGUGGAGAGCAACACAAUGUUAAACACUAAAUCACUUUUAAGAUGGAGUUGCAGAGCAUGAAGGCGAGGCCACAGCAGAAGGACGAGCGAUGAAGAGCUGGGAGAAAUGCAAAGACCAUGGGGAAGACCUACACCAGCAAGUGGUGAAGGCUGUGGACAAGACCGUGUUGAAGAAAUGGAAGUCGUACUUUUAAAUACAGGAUGACAUUUGUGCAAAAAAGAAAAGCUUUAAUAAAACAUUUGUAAAGAGUCUCAUUCAUCUAAAUAUUUCAAAUGACGUUCUGGAUGUAAUUCA